GGUGAACGUUGGCGGUUUGGAUUAGGCAUGCAAGUCGAGCGAAUUGAUAUCAGAGCUUGCUCCGGUGGAUUAGUGGCGAACGGGUGAGUAACACGUGAGCAAUCUGCCCUUGACUCUGGGAUAACUGCGGGAAACUGUAGCUAAUACCGGAUACGACACCUUGGGGCAUCCCAGGGUGUGGAAAGAAUUUCGGUCAAGGAUGAGCUCGCGGCCUAUCAGCUAGUUGGUGAGGUAAUGGCUCACCAAGGCGACGACGGGUAGCCGGCCUGAGAGGGUGACCGGCCACACUGGAACUGAGACACGGUCCAGACUCCUACGGGAGGCAGCAGUGGGGAAUAUUGCACAAUGGGCGAAAGCCUGAUGCAGCAACGCCGCGUGAGGGAUGAAGGCCUUCGGGUUGUAAACCUCUUUUAGCAGGGAAGAAGCGAAAGUGACGGUACCUGCAGAAAAAGCACCGGCUAACUACGUGCCAGCAGCCGCGGUAA
rnacentral:rRNA from 1 species